AUAGGCAGCACAGCUGUCAGUACCAUUGGGUCGCUCACCAUUUUGAUUUGAUUUGUAUUGAUGAAGUUGGCCAUUGUCUGUGAACAACGAGUUGCUAUUAGCAUUUACUCGUACUGCUUUGAGGUUGUGAUGUCCUUUGUGGUGUACAGCUGCAACUCUUUUGUCCUCUGCAUGAGAAUCAUCAUCUAAAAUGUGCUGCUGUCCAUGGGAGCACUUCCAUUGCCACUAGGAAUUCAGGUCCUUCAAAUGGAUCCCAGAUCAACGGCAAUGAAGUGAUGGAGAAAGAAUCCAUUAGCAACAAACUUUGUAUUUGUGUCUGCCACUGCAGAAGCAGAUGCUGUUGGAGCCUUGCUGGACUCCUGCUGUUCUUUUUCUUAGGAUGGAGACACAUGGCCUGCGGACAGGUGGAGUCCAAGAGUCAGUGAGUGCUGUGACGCUUUGCAGCCACAGAACAGCAGUGUUCUGACUGCCAGCUGCAGGGCAGUGCAAUGGAGCUGCCUGCACCCAGGUUUAUCAUAUGCUCGGCUCAUCCAUCUGUGUCUCAGUCUCCGGUGGACUCAUGAGUUUCAUCAAGAAAACCAUUUUCAAACCAGCAGACCAAAACAGAUCGUUUUCAACUCCCAGCCUCAUCGAGGCUUUGCAGCAGUUUUGCCUCGUGUUUACGAUUUAUGGAUGCAACAGAAACACAGAGCAGACAGAAGUGGUCCAGAGAUCUCCCCAUUGCAGGGUGUGCGCCUUCAAACGCUGCUCAUUCAGUGACCAUUAACCUUGCAAGAAAAGUCAGCAAGCAGACGUUCCAUUACAAUAGGAACAAAUGGUAAAUGAUGGUAUUAAAGGUAACUUUCCAUUACUUCUGGUGAUGUGAACCAGAACUACUUUUAAAUAAUGACUGGCCCCAGCCAAUAAAAACAGAAAUCUGUAUCAAAGAGUGGGCUGUAAUUGCUCUGAUUUUGCUGAGAAAUGAGACCUCCUAUAAGACAGAAACGUGCUUUUGAACAUGGAGGAAAAAGCAGGAGCUCAUUUCAGGGAAGUCCCAAUCCUUUAUGGAUGUUUUCUCCCUAGCUUCCUGCAAAACAAGGUUACUACACUUGCUUAUUGUCAGGGUGUAAUUGCUUCAAAUGGAAUUGGAGAUUAAAGGUGCACACCCAACACUGCACCCUUUACCUUCCUUGCCCCUUCCAUGCAACUACAGGGCUGGGAUCAUCUCCUUCAGGAACAUUUGGUGGGAAUAUCUUGGAUGUACCAAUGUCUGGGAAGGGAACAUCCUAUUUUCAGCAUUUCUCCUGAGCCUCUCAGCUGCCCCAAGCCACCAAGGACUGAGAGCCAAACACUGACACUGCUGCCAAAGCAAUGAAUUCUUUCACCAGCUCCUAAGUACCAUCUGCACUCACGUGUCAUGCGGCCUCAGCACUCCGUGUUCAGCCCUAACGUGAGUGCUUGGCUAUUUGCAGUGCACCAAAAUCAAUAGGCUGGGAAUGAGUCACAUUUACUCACAUUUUGUUUUUGCUGUGCAGAAUUCUCUUUCACCAAAGGAACUCCAGCUCUGCAACAAAAAGCCGUUGCUGACGCCCUUUAAUUACAAUGAAAGGCUGGCUUGGAGAUUUCUUCCAUGUCAACACGUGGCAGUAACAAGAUGGAAGUGAAAAAGCACAGAUAAGUUGGGCGGAGAAGGGAGAAAUAAAUGAUGUCUGUACUACUGAAAAUUUGCCUCUACGUUAAUUCUUGGAGACAAAUUCAAUUUCACUGGCUUCAGAAUCCAGGCAGGUUACUUUGGAAAAUGUCCUACCUGAGAAAUUCUUUGAAGGUACAGAUCCAUUGGAAGUGCUCUUGUAAUUACUGUUAUGUUGUUGCCUCUAUGCUGGAGCAUGGCACUGUGUUCACAUCAUCAUUCAUCAUGCUGCAAGUUCAAUAGUGUCUCCAUGUUAAUUAAAGACUAUUUUUAGUUAUCUCAAAGUUGUUCUGUUUUUUUCUGCCAGCAAUAUAUGUAAUAAACUAGAUGUGAAUCAAAAGAAUUCAGAACCAUGGGAUGUGAAGGGAGUGGGAUUGCCUUUGUAGUCUGGGGGAGAAAAAUGCAUCUUGCAAACUCUGGUAUUAGCAGGAAUUGAAUGCAUUUAUGCGAUUUGACUACAGAAGCCAUUUCCAUAAACGAUCAAUGACCUCUUAUAACUCAAACAGUAUCGAAGCCGAGCAGCACCGCUAGAGACUUUCAAAAAGGUCAGCAAUGAGCAAUUAAGAUGAUGUAAUCCCAGCUGACCCACUAGAAUCGGUACCUAUGCAAGAAGAUUUUGGGGAAAUUUAUUUGAAUUGUCUCCUUUUAUGACCACAGCAAGCUUCCUGGCUCCUUUCCAGGCUGUGUUUGCAGAAAACCCCAAUGUGGCACGAAGAUGACAAUUUCUCCCACUGAACUGAAUGCAGAAGGCUCAGCCCUGGGGGUCUGGAGGUGGGACCAGACACAGAAGGAAAGCAGCAGUGAGUGUUGCCCUGUGCCCCCAUCUCCUCUUCCGUUCUUAUGAGCUGAAAUGUCCACUGAGAUGUGCACACAAUGCUUCCAUAUGGUUGACCAUAAAGUUAUGUGGGCUAGAGCUGCUUUUUUUGUUUUUACUUUCCCUACAACUGCUACAUGGAGAGCUAGUGCUGGUGGAAACCUACUUUGCAAUGGGUGUUGCAUGAAUAAUACAAAGCUGUUGUAAAUGCACUGGAUGAAUAUAAAUGUGCAGUUUUUGAAAGUUUCUUGAUCAAAAGAGCUUAUCCAUAAACCAUUGCAGAAGGGCUUUCAUUGAUUUAGUGGAUAAUACAUAGGAUUUAUAUAAAUGUUGAUAUGUAUAGUUUGGUCUGGAGCCAAAGGUUUCUCCAAAGCGCACUGUGAAACAAAACAAGCCCUCAGCUGCAGGCAGAAAACAUAUGAUUUCCUAAAAUGAGAGAUUUAGCAAUAAAAGCACUUAAAUACAAAACAACUCUUCUUUUCAUGUUAGAAUAAUAAUGAUAAAGAUUUUAAAAUAAAAAUGGGCGCAGAAAGCAGCGCGAUCUGUGAAAAAAUCUUGCAGAAGUAAUUUUUAUUUUUAAGAAGGUCUUUACAAGUAGGUGUUUUUACAUGCAAAUACAAAAAUAGAAUGGCUUUUGAGGAGCUUAAUUUCCUCCAAUUCCUCACAUAUUUCAUCUUUUUUCAAGUAAGUGCUAACAGUGUCAUGAAGUUGUGAGUUGCAGUGCUUUCCCUACAGCAGCUGUGUUUGGUGUCCAGCAAGGAUCACCAUGGUCAGAUAAAGGAAGUGCCAUGCGAAACGUGUGCCCAAAUCACAUCCAUUUAUACUCUGUAAUCUUUGAGCCGUGAUCCAGAAGGCUGAUGAUAAUCCAGGACUAAAUGUGUACCUUUUACACCACAUUAACUGACUUUCUUCUAGCUUGUCAAACAGCUUUGGGAUUUAUUAUGUGUUUAUUGUAUGCCUCACCAGUUUCUAUCCAGGGGACUGCAUAUUUAUUUGUAGCUUCCAUCUCUGAGCGUUGAACUUUGCUUAACGAAGCAUAAUUAAAUCAUGGAUCUUCAUGCUACAAGGCUGCACGCUUUGUGUGUUAUUUGAAACACAGGGAUUUGGGAGACCCAGGUUGCCAACACGAGCAAAUCCAGGAAUAGGCAGAAGGAAUUGGAGAUCCUCUGCUUUGGGUUUUGUUUAUUUCUUUGGUUUUGCUUGGUCUGUUUUCUUCCUAACUUCUGUCUUUUUUUGGGCUAACAACUUGAUCUCCCCUCACAAACCAGGGUUAGCAGUGGCCUACAACAAAAUUUACAGGCGUAGUCAGUACAUCAUUUCUCCUGCAGAAGUCAACUGUGAAGGCAGACAUAUGGACAUAUGGAACACAUGCAAGAGCUGGGUAAGCUCCUGAAGGAAGUGCUAAAUAGAAAAUCAGUGCAGUGAGUGGAUGGCUCUUCUUCUUGAUGCUAAUGCAAACACAGAUACAGACUUUGGCUCCUUUACGGGUUGUCAUAAAUUAUAGUGAACAAAUUAUGCUGUUUCCUAUCACUUUAAUUAACUUUGGAUCAGAUUCUGCUGUGUUGGUUAAAAAUAGCAGCUUUCACAAAAGGAGAAGUUGGAAAUAUUAUUGUCAAAGCAAUUUUGGAUUAAAAUGGGGUUGAUAAGUAUUGAGAAAGAAGAAUUUUACGGUGCCUUUGUGCAUUUCUGUGUAGAAAGGACGAUCUCAUUGUACAUGUCACAUGUUUCAGAUGUGCUGACACCCAUGAGAAGAGCCCUCCUCAGGAGGAUUCCAGCCCUGGGCAGCUGAGCGGAGGCCCUUGUGAUGCUGUGGAUAAGCUGAAAUAACUACUCUGGCCAAGGCAAGCUUAUCUAAAUGAAAACCUGCCUUGCAAACCCUUUGGAGCCUUUCCCAUCACCAGCACAAAAGCCCAUAUUUAAGAUAGAAAAUGAAAUGUUUCAGCUUUCAAUUUCAAACGAAUGCAGUUAUUUCAGUUCUUAAAAAAAAAAAUCAGAUGGCAGAUUAUUAAAAAUUGCUGCGCUGCCCAAAAAGAGGACUUACAGCAAAAUUCCACGUGUUACUCAAACAAAAACCAUCCACACUUCUCUGGGAUGAAGUGGUGGCAGUACCAAUGAAGAUGUGAAGUCUCUGUUUCCAUUCUCCAGCAGCACGGCUGUGUGUUGGGUGCUGAGGCUGAGCGCAUCGUGCACCAUCGCUCCAUUUAGCAACCUGUUCAUCUGGAUGGGAUGCCCAGUGGGGACUCUGGCAGACAUCAGCCCCUGGUGCUUUGAGCAGCCCUACACCGUGCUGGGCUGAUAGGAGAGAGCUGCAGGGUCACGUUUCCCCUGCUAGUCACGUCAGAUUCAUCUGGGGCAGAAACUGGGACUUGAGAACCCGAUUAUAAGUUUGCUGUAUCUCUGCCAAGUCUCCAGGCUUCAUUUAGCCAACACUCUGAAUUAAUUUUCCCAUUAAAUGGAUGCUUUCUUAAAAUAUAGGGAGAAAAUCUUUUUCGCUGAUAAGAUUGUUCUGCGAACCGUCCCUAAUGAGCUGCUGUGUCAUUCCCUCAUGCCCAGACUGUUCCAGUAUUAAGCAUUCUAGUCUUCCACUUCCCUUUAAGAAUGUUUCACUUUAGCUGGGACCUUCUUCAAAUGAAUUUCAAAAGCUGUUAGGAAAACAUUUUAUCUCUUUGUUUCGAUUCACUUUUGUUCAGGUGGGUGUUGGAUCUACAGGGGUUAUUCACAGCGAAUUCCAGGCGAUUCCCAGAGAUUUGGGAUCCUCAAAACGUGGCUGUGAUUAUGAUUUUUUGUUUGGCUGAGGAUCUUUCACUCAUUUCGUGGGAUGUCUUAGGUGAUUUAUCGCAAUCCAUCUCCAUUCUGCGGCGCAUCUUUUCCAUAUCCUGGGAGAACAGAUCAGAUUCUCAGUGUGGUACUAUGGCAGCUCCCACCUCUUUUAAACCAAAGUCUCACUGGGAGGAAUUAAGUAAAUUAGAAAAACUAUCCAAGCAAGAGCUUUCUCUCCCUGGACCAGGUAAUGCCAUAGCUGGUAUUUAUCUGCAGAAAGAACUCUCACAUCCCAAUGAUUUUGCUUUUUAGUUUUUUACGCUAUGAAGUAUCAUAAUAUUGCUUAAUAGUGUCAUAUUUUGCAGCCUGAUCCCCUUUUCUUUUCCUUUCCCUUUGUGUUUGAUGUAGUUGGGAGUCUCAGAGCCUGAAGACUGUGCUCACAAGGCUGCCUUCUCCCCUUGCCAUGCAGAUAAAGCAUACUGUUUGUUUCACCCAAACAGUGCAAACUCAGUGGUGUAAAGAAUUACAAAGUCCUGCGUGUAAUGUACAUUCUCUUUACAUUUUCCAUUAUCUCCUUUGCAGCCUAGUGCAUUUGUCACUGGUUUUCUCUCCUCUUGGCUUAAUGAGACUUUUUUUUUUU